CAAUCCACUUCUUCUAGAGACAUGGAAGACUCCUGCCUGGAAUGUGGGCAGGGCCAUGUGAGUAGCUCUGGUCAGUGAAAUGUGAGUGCAUGUGGCUUAUAUCAUCACUUCUGGGCUGAGACAGUUAAAAGCCCACACAUGAUUCUUCAGUUUCUUUUCCUGUGCCACAGCAACCAAGAAGGUCACAUGUUCCAGAAGCUGCAGCUAUAAGGUGGGUGGGGGGACCUAAGUGGGCCUGGGCUCUUGAGUGACUAUGUGGAGCAGAGCUGCACUGACUCUUUCUUAUCCAUGGGUAGCACAAGCGAAAAAUAAACUUCUGUGGUGCAAAGUCACUGAGAUUCAGGAGUUGUUGCCAAAGCGGAGCCGAGCUCAGUGGUUCCCAGUCUGGUCCCAGGCACCACGUAAGAUGUUCCUUUGCUCUUCCUUCAUCUUCCACCAUGAUUGUGAGGCCUCCCCAGCCAUGCUGAACUGGGGUAACCACCACAGGCCCACAGGCUAAAAUUGAGCUGGAGUAAGUGGCAACAGAGAGUAUUUAUUGUCCCCUAAGAGCCCUGCUUUAUGCUUCACCUUUUAGAUCCACUGACUCACACCUGCCUCUCUGCUUGUCCAGAGAGGUACAGAGAAGUAAUGACUUGGACUUGAGGAAGGCCCUUGUAGGACAUGUGAAUGCCAGUGCUCAUGGAGAAAGGUGGAGGAAGAGAGCCAGAGUGCAGUUCACCUCUGGGAGAGCAGACCAGAGUGGCUUCCGUGGGCACAUGCUGGAUUGAAGUGAGAAGACGUGACUACUAAAGUUGAGGCCCCAAGUCUCAGCUUCUUCCCCCUCCAAAGCAUGAGUGGAGGAUUCACUUAAGGCCACUUUGGGGAUCAAACAUAGGCACCUGCCUGUCCAAGGGGGUCUAAGUCACAGUACAGAAGUGGUUUGCAAAGGCUGGUGGGAUGGUGUGGCAGGCCUGUGGAGUUGAAUAAAAAUCCUGAUGUCCUUCCUGGCAUGAAGAAUGGAGCUGCCAAGCUGCCCCCAGGAGAAGCGUGCUGCCUAUGCAUCUCACUGGACUUCUGUGUACAGAAGAAAUAUUGGUGGUUUGACCAAACGCUCGGGCUCCCCACGACUCCCGUUGUUAUAUGGGAAAGAACAAGGUCUGGCCCACCUCUCUAAACCUUUAUAAAGGAGCCAGCUGGUGCCUGCCACUUUGUUGCCCACUGGAGAAGACUGGCUGCAUGCAUGUCAUGCACCAUAUCCCAGCAGCAAAGGCCCUGAUUUUUUUUUUUUAUCAGCUGUAGUUCAUUUGUAAAUUAUUAACCUCUCAAGAGCCAAUAUUUGCUCAGGGCCUUCCAGUCCAUCUCAAGUGUCGAUACUGUGCUUGGGAGAUUGCGGGGGAGGAUGGUGCAGGGAGCUCGGUCUGACACGCUGUUGUUGGGGAGGAAAAUGCUCUUUGUCUAGCAAGAGAGGAGGAUCUGACUCAGCAGCAGUAGAACCUCAGGCCAGCCCUUUUCCCACCUGGGGCUGAGGAGACUCAGCCAUGUGAGAGUCCACAUAGAAGCAGGGGUCCUCAGUGCUCUCUAACCACAUUGAGAGUCUACUCUGCCCCAAACCACUCCACUAUGCCAGGCUGAGGCUUUUUAGGCCAAUAUAUAUCUAAGGAUAAAAUGAAGGGAGUUCUGGAUGAUGCAUUAAGAACACUCCUGAGACAUUAGAGCCUUGCUUUGGAUUUGAAGAGGGGAACUUUACUUGUCACCCUGGGUGAAGUCAAUUCCUCUGUGAAUCUCCCCAGUGAGACUGUGGGUACCUUAGGAGAAGAGACAGUGACUUAUUCAUCUCAGAAUCCUCAGACUAGAAUAAGGCCUGGGAUUUAUCAGGCAUUCAGUAAAUUCUUGCUGAAUGAGCAAUUAACUUGAGGUCUUCAGGGUUCCUGGGACCAAAGAGUUGGCCUUUAUAAAAGCACAUUCGUAAUUCAAUCUGUACAAGUAGUACAAUUCAGUAUGGUAUGUUACAAGUCAGUUAUUGAAUAUUACACAUUGCCACAAUGAUCUGUCAGUAAUAAAGACACAGUCCAGAAAAUAUUCUCUCUCGUAGGUCACAACAGUUGACCAGUUGACUCCAAUGAUCUCAUUAAAUAGCUUGAGGUUGAAAAUAACCUAGUGUUUCUCUUACCCAAUACACUAUUUGCUGAUUGAACAACAUAAAGUUUCCAAAAGUGGAAAGGGCAUUAUGAGGAAAGGUAUUAAAAUAAAGCUAUCAUCUUAACUUUUAAUAAAACUGUGUACAAUACUGAAGAUACUUUAUAGCAAGAUGAAAAAAUUAGAGUCCUUGGUGUUGUGCAGAUGAAUUCUAGUCCCAGCAUUAUUCCAUAAUAUGUACCUUGGGCAAAUUAACAACUCUGAGACUCAGUUUUCUCAUCUUUAAAAUGGGGAUACUCUAUCUACCUCUUAAAGUUAUUGUGAGGACUGAAUGAGUUAAUACUUGGAGAGGACUCAGAGCAGGGCAUAGUUAAGGACUCAGUAAGAGCUAACUUUACUAACAUCGCUACCAUCACAAAUAAUAAGUAAGAAAACGUACCUUGAGGAUCUUGCAUAGUACCUGGCAUAAAAUAGGCUCUUAAGAGAUGAAAGCCAAUUAGUACUAGUAAUUAGAGUUUAAAAUGAUAAGAUUUUAAGGCAUGUAGAAAACAAGAAUAUCUUGUGUUUCUGGCAACCAAAGUUAUUCUAUUCCAGGCCAUGGGGAUCUCCUAUUUCUCCAGAAAUAUGGAGGCUACAAGAGAGAACUAACAUUUAUUGGGCACUUACAUUGUACUAGUUACUGUGCUAGGGGCUUUAAAAACAGUUUUUCCAUUUAAGCAAAUAAUCCUAAUAUUUUAGAUAAUUUACCUGAAACCCACCGAGAUGACGUAUUUCUCCAAUGGUUACAUUAGCUAAUACUGGUAGGACUAAGAUUUCAACCCAGAUAUGUUUGGACUCUAUAGCCUGUAUGCUUUCCACUUUUCAGAAACUUAUAAACAAAACAGAGCAAAAACUUUCUGGAACUCUCUGGAGCCCUUGGCUGUUCUCUGGACCUUCCUUUGCUGUGUCUUGGGGCAGGCACAUCUUGGCUUAGGCUGAGCUUUUCUAUUUGCCAAAAGAGUCAUCUCAGAGGGCACAGCCUGGAGUGCAGCUCAACAAACAUAUGUGUAACAGCCGAGUGCCACCACGUUAAGAACUGGACUUACAAGAUGGAUAGGACCUGGUGGCAGCUGUCCUUGAGGAAGCCAGAGCCUGGAGAGACAGAUCUCAUGUUAUAGCAGAGUACCAAUAUUCUGCAGAAAACCAAAACCUCACCUGCAUUCCUACUCCUAUCAUGAUGUUCUGCCCCCCGGGACCCUUGUUUAUGCUGGUCUCUCCUUUUGAAAGAACGUUACCCUUUUCUUCACCCAGCAAAUUCUUACUCAGACUUCAAGACUCAGUUCAGAGUCUGGGGAUGAAUAUUCUACAAAUGGCCCCCAGGAUUGUCAUGGUCCUCACGGCAGGUGAUUUGCUCUUGAACAAUUAACAGAGUGAAGGCUGUGUUCCAUCUCCUCACAGUCUCCCGCUGGGCAUCCUUGGGAGCACAGGAGGAGAAAGGCUUUCUUCUUGAUCCUAUUACUGCUGCCCAGCAUCAAGAAGGAUUAAUUAACCCACCAGGUUUUGCUUCAUUACGAGGAAAAAAGAAAAGCCAGUGACAGUGGAAUUCAAACAUUGAACAGGCAAAGGAAUCAGUGCUCAAGCACCUUAUGAACAUUUCGAAGACUUAGCUGGGCGGUGUGGCGCAAUGUAAAGUAGGGUGACUUGGUGCAAGUUACACACCCCUGCAGCCCUGUUUCUUCAUCCUCAGAGUUCACACUUCAAUUCUACAAAUUGAUGGCCUAUUCUGAGCUAAGCCCCGCCCACUCUGAACUAAGCCCCGCCUACUUUGAUUCCCUACUCUGAGCUAAGGAACAGUCUUUCAUCCCCAUGAAAGCUUUCUGUCUAGAAGGAACUAAAGAGCAUAAUUAUACUUAUUUUCCAGUGCUGUUGUUAGAAUUAAUUAAAUGUGGUAUAGCAUGUGAAAGUACUCUGUAACUAAACAUUGUAUAAAUGUUAAUUAUUCUCAUUUUCAUAUUUGAUAUUCAGGCAUUCAAACAAUUAUUGAGCACUUAUUAGGGCAAAGAACUAUACUUGCAGCUAACAGUUACGUGAAAGAAUUCGAAGACAUUGUUUUUGCUGUUUAGGAAGGUCCCACAUGGCAAAGCAAUUAAGACACACACAUGAAAUAAUUAAACAACAAAGUUGGGCCUAAAGAAGUUUCAUCUCACGUGCUAAUCAUGGCUGGCUGGCUAUGGCUAUCUAGAGUAUUAUGCUGAAAAUGAUUCUGAAGCUCUUUCUGGGCUCAAUUGAAAAGGAUGAUCUGGUGGAUUAGCAAUGAAUGCCAUGGGCAUAAGUUGGGCAUGUAGUGGUACGUGGACUAGUUGUUUAUAGUGCCUAAUACAAGGUAGCAAACAUAAUGAUAAAAGUAACUGUUAUUGAAAUUCAGCCAAGAUUGGUAUCAGUGUAGGCUUGUAUGACUGACAAAGAAUGUAGAGGAGCUAAAGAGUAAGCUUGACCUUGAAUUACGAGUAGGACUUCAGUGAAGAUAGGAGGCUAUUUCAGAAUGCAGGGCAUCUGGUAGGGAGUAGUGGAUGGUGGAGAGUAAGGAACUCAGUACUUGAUUCAAAGCCUGGGUCUCCCAGAAGUGAGCUGUGUGGCUUGGGCCACUUUAUCUCCUGAGGUCUCAGAGUUUUCAUGUAUAAAAUUGUAGAACUUGUCUUGAUGGUUUUGAACAUUCUUUCUAAUUCUGCACAACAGUCCAUUUGUGGGUUAGAUGAGCCUUUACCAAACUGUAUUUCAUGGAACAAUGGUCCCAAGAGCUGUUCUGUGAAAAGUAAGUUUCAUCAUCAAAUAAUUUUGAGAAAUUCUGAAUCCUAUAUACGUGUUGAUUCCUAUUUCUUUCCUUCCAUUCUUUCUUGAGUCCACUCUGAUUGGUCCUUAAAGUUGGAGUUUAUUUUUAUCAUUAUUGUUAUUGUCAUGGUAGUAAAGAUGGACAAAGGCAGAUUCCACAAACAUCUCAAAAUAAAAGUCAAUAGGACUUGGUGAUUAAUUGCAUAUAGGCAAUGCAGGAGAGGGUCUAAGCAAAGAUGUCAAGUAUUUCAAACUAGAAAAUGAAUAGAAUAAGCCAGGGAAUUAUUGAUGGACAAAAGAAGUUGAACCAGGUUGGUGGACAUGGAGCAGGGGUGCGGAGGGAGAAUACCAUCCUGCAGGCUAGGUACCUCAUGGGUACAGGAAGAGAUGCAUCUAGGUUACUCACAGCUAUGGAAGAUUAUUGCAAAGGUGUAAGAAAAGGUGAAGGAGAUCAUCUCAGCAGCAGCAGCAACAGCACAACGUUGGGGUCUAUAGAGACCACCUUAGUUUGCCUAAGACUAAGAAAUUUCUCAGGACACGAGCCUUUCAGUUCAAAAACUAGGUAAGUUCUGUACCAAAAAAGUUAGUUGUAUUAUUAGGGGAUCAAUUUUCCUUAUUCUAGAAUGGACAGCUGGAUUCAUAAUCAAAGGACAAUGUGUUGUUGCCAGCAAUUUCUGUUGAGCAUUUUAUGAACAGAGUUUAGAUUAGCCCCUUAACAGAUGGCUGGUGUCUCCUGUGCCUAGCACAUGUAGAAGCAUCUUUAGCCCGUCCAACCCUCUCUGGUCUUCCUGGCUAUGGCUGGGUAACAUUUGGAUCCACCUCUUAAUGGAGUAUGCCAUAUGCAGUGGGAAAAACAGAGAGGACUGCUUUCAUACCAUAUUCGUGUGAUAGAAUGAAUAAUUCUUUCAUGGGUUCCUCCCCGAGUCCAUCCAGUUCAGAGGAAAGAUGAUUAGGACUUUCCUCCAGCUGACUUUAAGGGAGGGUGGGAUGUUUAGGUAGAGGAGUAUUUACAAAAUCAGGGGAAAGAGUUGCAUUUGGGCUUAAAAAAUUCCUGAAUAUUCUUUUUUAAAAGAAAUGCCUGGUCAAAUACCGUAGGGAAUUACUGAGGAAGAACUUGAAAGAGGGAUGGAGAAGGAAGAGGAAAGAUAGAAAAGAAAAGAGACAGUAGGAGAGAAAAAGAGAGGAGAGAGAGAGAGAGAGAGAGAGAGAGGUUUGUCACAACCAGGUUUUCCCACCCCUACCUAGGGCAUUAGAACCUUCCACUAUUGCAGCUAAGAGAAUAGAGCAUGUGAACAGCUUGUACAUUUACUUAAACACCAAUGGUUUCAGCUUCUCAUACUGCACUCUACUCAAAGGUACAGUAGAUUCAGGGACCUGUCACUUAAGACAACUCUUUACCUUCCAACCAACCAAAGUGCAUUUUACAAUGUCAAUGCCAUUUCACAGAGAGGGGCAUUCAUCAGGGGUGUCUGAAGUCCAGGCCAGCCUGAGAAGGAGGUGCCAAGGCUUGGGAGUUGAGGGACCCAGGUCCUAGCUUUCUCUCCACUGGGCUCCAUUGUGUGAUCAUGGGCAACUGGCUAAACAUCUCUGGACUUUGUUCUUCCAACCUUUAAAAGGAAGCAAGGACCCACUCUUUUUGUUGAAAGAAGCUGGAGAGAGUAACUGCUGAGCCCAGGGAGAGGAGGGCAGAUGCAGGGCCAUUGUAGCCUGCUCUCACGAAUAUAAACACUCUAGAGUUUGGUCAACCCCAAAGGCCCUUUCUUCCUUAUUGGUUACUCAGGAUUUCCAAUCACCUGGGGCUCUCAAAAGUCAACAGGGGCCACUCAGCUAACCUCAGGGGUUUGAUAUAACCGGCAGGUGAAAGAGGCCAAAAAGACCUCCCCAGACUUCAGCGAGUUGUCAGCCCUUAAGCCCUUGAGCCUGCAGCAGGGGAUGAAAUAUCCUUUGGUUUUCAAAUCCCAUUGACCCAGGGCUUAUCCACGAAGGCAGGCUGGAACCUGGAGCAUAGGGCGAAGGCAGAUGUGGCAGGUUGGCUCUAGGCAGAAUCACUUGGUAGACCCGUCCUCGGCACCUGAUUCUACAUCUGGAAAAGUGAGUGAUAACUGUUGGAGUAAUAGUCCUCAGGAGUGCCUGUUAAAAGGGAUCAAAGCUUUGUGCUAAAGGGGAUCCUAGGAAGUAUAAGAGAAAUAGCUGAGAGCAGCCAAAAGGUACAGGAUGUGGAAUAGGGGCACGGAGGCAGCGCUGGUAACCAGCCCUGCACACACUCAUUAAGGCCCAACCAUGAGCUGUGACCAGAGAGUUGGGAUAUGCAUUUGGAAGUUGAAGUCCAAGUUUACAUCUUUCAUUGUGAGUCCUCAGUGGACCCAUCUACCUGUUGAUGGUGAACAGGUCCAAGACUGUAAUGAGGUGUAAGUACCAUUAGGUGGCGAUACAUGAAUGCCUUUCCCAUCUGGUUCCAAAAGAAGAGCACUAUGGGUUUGUCUCCCAGCUCAGGCUUAUAAGCAGCACAUCCAUGUUCCCUGCAUCUGUAGAUCAGCUUUAGCACCCACAGUGCCAGCUGCAAGUGGGGGUAGUGUGUGUGCGUUUUGAGCGCGUGCAUGCACAUAUGCCAAUUGUUGUGUAUUUUCACCUCAAUGUCGGUGACCAGCAAAUGAGGCAUCAGUGACACCCUGGCAGCAACUGACUACUUGGGCCACACUCUGAAAAUGGAUUGCCUCUGUUUUCUCUGCUUGAUCUUCACUGGGGGAAAAGAGUUAAAUUCGAUUUCCAGGAGCUCUCCAUGAGAGCCAACUUCAGCACAAGUUCCCAUUUCCAGAGAGGCUGCCGAGUCUCUCAUUUGUAAAGGCCUCCUCCCUUUGCCCUGAGCGGACUAGCCUUCCCCUACUUCUGCCUCUUUGCCUCUGUGUCACAGUUUUGUGGUCGAUGACACCCUCUCCUUAUCCUGCACCUCCUCCUGGUCUUGCCGACAUGGCUCAAUACUUUGUGCCUAAAUACAGGACUUGUACCAGUCUCCUAUGUCCCCGUGGAGGGCCCAGUGACAAAGGAAAAAAACCAGCCUUUCUCUGCUCAUCUGGGUGCAUAGGGCUCACCCUGAGGGAAGCUGGAAGUGGCAGCAAAUUUUUGUUUAUAAAUAAAAACAAAGACAACUUGUCGUUCCAAAGGAAAAUGCCCCCUGGUGAAAGAAACACUUAAAACCACUGAAGAAUUAGUUUCGUUUUGUCCUUGGUGGCCACCCUGUCAGCAGGUUUCCUUGAUCUUAUGUUGGUGACAGAGUCUCAAACUGAAUGCCAAGGGAAGGAUUCCACACAUAUUCCUUGGAUUUGUAGCUGAGGUACAGCCCUGGGCCUGGGGACAUGGAGAAGACCCAGCCUGCAAAACUCAAUCAUGGCUCUGCAGAUUUUACCCAGUUUGGAGAUCUACUAGCUACCACACUCGACACACACACACACACACACACACACACACACACACACUAUGAUGGAUGUCAUUCUUGUCUGCAACAUGCUCUAGUGACUGGGCCCAAGUCAGGCACAGCUUCUUGUGUGAACUGAAACACCAUUCUUUUCUUCCCUGUGUGAAAAAACAGAAUACAAGGGUGAGUGAUCUUAUGAAAACACUACUGAAUCUGUUCCAUUUUACAUAUUCACAAAAUUGAGGCCACUUAAUGUAAUAGAUAAAAGUAAUACAGAGACAACUACAAUAGGAAACAAAAGGUGAGAAAUGACAGAAGAAACAACACUCAGUGAAUACUGGGACUCAAGAGCAGGAGCAAUGGCAGCCACUUUGGAGUAGGAAGGUGAGCACUAGGAAGGGCCCCCCACCCCCUGCAAUAAGCUUUGAUGGACGGAUGGAAUUUUUUUCAAGGUAUUCUUUUUUAAAAAACAUCUUUAUUGAGAUAUACUUCAAAUACUAUAAAAUUCACUCAUUUAAAGCAUACAAUGCAGUGGUUUUUAGUAUAUUCACAGAGGUACACAACCAUUGUCACAAUCUAAGUUUAGAACAUUUUUGUCGCCUCUAACAGAAACAUGCAGUCAUGAGCAGUCAGCCCCAUUCACCCCUCACUCCCCAGCCCUAGGCAACCACUAGUCUACUUUCUGUCUCUAUAGAUGUGCCUAUUCUAGGUAUUUUAUAUUAAUGGAAUUAUAGUUUUUUGUGGCUGUCUUCUUCAACUUAGCAUAAUGUUUUCAAGGUUUGUCCAUGUUGUAAAAGGUGUCGGUACUUCAUUUCUUUUCAUGGCCGAAAAAUAUUCCAUUGUAUAGAUAUUCCCCAUGUUUGUUUAUUCAUUCAUCUAUUAAUGAACAUUUGGGUUGUUUCCACUUUUUGCCUAUUAUGAGAAAUGGUGCAGUUCUUUCAUCUGCAUGUUUUUAUGUGGACAUGUUUUCAUUUCUCUUGGGUGUAUACCUAGGAGUGGAAUUGCUAGGUCAUAUAUUAUCCCUAUGUCUAACUUUUUGAGGAAUUGCCAAACUGUUUUUCAAAGUGGCUGCACCUUACCGCAUUCCCACCAGCAAUAAAUAAGGGUUUCAAUUUAUCAGUGUCCUUGUUAUAGUCUGUCUUUUUGAUGAUAGACAUCCUGGAGGGUGUGAAGUGGUAUCUCGUUGUGGUUUUGAUUUGCAUUUCCCUGAUGACUAAUGAUGUUGAGCAUCUUUUCAUGUGCUUAUUAGCUAUUUGUAUUUUUUUUUUUUGGUGUUGGGGGACAUAUGUCUAUUCAAAUCCUGGGCCCAGGUCAGGCACAGAUGCUUUUUAAUUCGGUUGUCUUUUUAUUUUUGAGUGGAUGGCUGAGUUUUUGAGAGGUGUAGGAGUGUAGGAGCAAAAGCUUAGAUGUGGAAAAGGUAGGCACUUGUAAGGAGUAAGAAGUAAAACAGAUUGGCUUCAGAGUGUAGCAUUUUCAUGAGAGAUGUGACUCUGCAUUUAACAGAAAAGGC
rnacentral:lncRNA from 10 species